rnacentral:pre_miRNA from 1 species
GGAAAACCCUAAUUCGACUGGAAAAAGAAAGACCGCAAAGAAGCCCAGGACUUUCGCCGCCCCUUUCUUCACAGAAAGGCUGGCUCUUGGCGCCCGGGAAAUCCUUUGCGGUCUUGUCUCUUCCAAUUCGAAUUCGGGUUUUUU